rfam:Brachypodium distachyon strain Bd21 chromosome 4, whole genome shotgun sequence.
GUGGUACUUCCUCCGUUCGGAAAUGACUGACUCAGAUAUAUCUAGAUUCGCAUGUAUCUAUACACUAAAACACUUCUAGAUACACAUGAAUCUAGACAAAUCCGAGUCACUUAUUUCUGGACGGAGGGAGUAGAUG